GGUACGUUCUAUCGCUUAGCAACUGUUACCAUGGCCACUGUGACGAAUAAUGAUGUCACUAAUCCUGAGUCAUGCUUUCCUUUCCCUUGCAAUCCGACAAGGUCACGUACACUUUGAGGAGAAUAGGCGAUAUUAACCCAUCAUUUACCACCCUCGUCCAUCAUUUAAUAUGAGCUGAAUAAACCAAACACCAUUUAUCCAGACCACACCUUUUCCCUUUUUGUUGUUACAUUUUUUUAGAAAUGGAAGCUGAGUUCUCUCCCCUGUCAGCUGCUGUGCAUUGGUACGGUCCAAACGGACUCUUUAACUGACUCUGAUUGGUCGUUGCCUCCUCUCUACCCCCACUCUUCCCUGCAGCAGGGAGCAAAGCAUUGUGGGAAACUCCUAGGUUGGUUCCUGCAGAGCAUCCUGUGAGCUGCAGAGUGAGUGAAGCAGGGAGCUACUGUAGAAGCAACAGAAAUUUAAAAUGGAAGCUAAGCCCCGUACUACAAGUGUGAAGAAGACUGACAAGACCACCCCUGCUGCAGGGGUAGAGAAGAAAGAAGGGUCCAUCAAAGAACAGUCUAAUCCUACAUCUAAGAAGGCAACAACAGGAGACUCUGCACCAGCCAACAAUGAAAGCUCCAAACCCACUGUACCAGAGCCUCAGGAGCCACCAGCAACAACAGAGAAUAAAUCCAAUGGGGAGGAGCAGGAGGCUUCCAAUGGAGCGGCAGAGGGUUCCGGAUUUGAGGGCCUAAAACCAAUAUUAGUGGCUGCAGGAGUGGCUGUUGCCACCAUUGCCGUUAUUGUGGGGGUAGUAUUUUUGGCCCGGAAAAAGUAAACUGUUGGUUGUAUGUAGGCAAAAAUGUAUCAAUUGUUCUCAGCAGAGGCGAAUAUGUACAGUUUCUUCAGCAAACGUCGCAUGUCUCAGAUUUGUUAUUCAUCACAUGCAGCCAUUCAGGUAUCAGGAAGAUGAUCAGGGAAAACAAGAAUCUGUGGGUGACCACUAUGUGUACGAAAGUUAAAAAUGGCUGUCCGGCUUUAUACCACUGAGCAAACAACGGACAAGAUUUUGGGUCGGACAGCAUAGUUUCUUGUAUUAUUUCAUUAUAUGUUUCCAAUGUUAUAUUUAUUUAAUGUUUUCAGGUUUGAAGCAACAACUUCUAUGUUCCUCUUAAUGUUCAUCUUUCCUUUUUAUAUGUCUACAUACUGUGCCGAAGGCCAUGCCAUACUUUAAAAGCCCUGACAGAUGUUUAUGAUGUUCUUAUACCUACAAGGCAUAUCCUGCUUAUUUGCCUUUGCUUGGUUUUCCACCAUAUAUAAUUAAACUUGAUCCCCAUGACUCCCACAGGAGACUUGUAAUCCAUGCCACUUGUCUGCCUUUUGAUAUCUUCCCAUUCCACAAUGUCUAUAUUUUCUGUCUUGACCUGAUAUUUCUCAACAUUUUCAAUUCCAACUUGAAAUCUUGUACUUUCUAAUUGCCCGUGCUAUUAAAGCUUAAUAUUCUUAUUCAUUACAGUGCCAAACAUUGGCGUCAAAACAUAUCUUAAAAGCAAGGCACUGUAAAGAGGGGAUAAGUGAUAUGAGGAAACCUGGAAAUAGCCGUCAGAUGCGGCUCACUUGAUUAUCCAAUUUCUCCAUUAAGCACGAAAUGGAUAUUCGCAUUAGCUAUUUUUAGGUAGUUAGGUAGCUUUUUUUAAAUUUCAUUACAGUUUUUCUUUGACUUAUCAUUUCAAGAUUAUAAUGUAUAUAUAUGCGCACACAUUUAAUGGGGUAGGUCUGUGAAAACUUGUGCUUAGGAAGAUAUUGGGGAAGAUUUAUCAAAACCUGUGCAGAGGGAAAUUUCCCCAGUUGCCCAUAGCAACCAAUCAGCUCGCUUCUUUCAUUUUUAACAAGGUCUCUGUAAAAUAAGCAAUCUGAUUGGUUGCUAUGGGCAACUGGGCAACUUUUCCUUUGCACAGGUUUUGAUAAAUCUCCCCCAUUAAUUCUAUGUAUUAGAGUAGACAACCUGAUUCUGUGACUGUUUGUUAUACGUACCAGAUGUAGUCAUGGUUAGAAAUGGAGUAGAUUUUGGGGGAUAUCAAAAUACAAACGAAAUAGCUUUGGCUCUAGUAACGUGCUUUACCAUAGGCUUUACAGAUUAAGAAUUGAUGCAGAUUUGAUGCUGUGUAAAUUAGUGUAACUGAAAGAUUAAAUACAGUAUUAAAUCAGCAGCAUCAAAUCUGCAGCAAACGCCGUACAUGUGAAUGUACCCCAAAGGGAACCUUUCAUGAAUCAUUGGGGUGGUCCCUGGUGGCUUCUGCCUGCUUCACUAACCUACAAUCACAGACAAAGUGCCCAAGUAGAGUCAUUUCCUGAGUAAAAUAUAGGUGUAAGGGAAUAUAAUAAAUAGUUUACCUAAAUUACAUGUAUUGAAAGCAAUGAAAUAAGACACUAGCCAAUAAAUUAAAAACAAACGCCAUUUACCGUAAGCUUCACAGUUUCACAUGUAGACCACAAUUACGCCUUGUAGUAAUACCUACUAAAUAUAUUGAGCUUCCAUCAAGUAAACUGUUGGCCUCCUUUAAAGGGAACCUGUUAUCACUUUUAUGCUACCCGAAUCACAAAUUAUUAGGGUGGUCCUCUAUGACUUCUUCCCGCCCAGACAGCCAUGACAGGUAAACUUUUCUUGUAAAAUCUUGUAGUUUUAUUAAAUAUAUAUAAAAAAAAAAA